CAUUUACUUCCCCUAACCUGUACAUACGCCCGGACAAAUGUAGCCUCAUCUGAAAUGGAUGACCAUUAAACCGUGAGGGGAGAUGGUGACUGUUAGCACCAAUACGGUCGGGAGC
rfam:Candidatus Magnetoglobus multicellularis str. Araruama Cont460, whole genome shotgun sequence.